GACGAACGCUGGCGGCGUGCUUAACACAUGCAAGUCGAACGGAAAGGCCCUGCUUUUGUGGGGUGCUCGAGUGGCGAACGGGUGAGUAACACGUGAGUAACCUGCCCUUGACUUUGGGAUAACUUCAGGAAACUGGGGCUAAUACCGGAUAGGAGCUCCUGCUGCAUGGUGGGGGUUGGAAAGUUUCGGCGGUUGGGGAUGAACUCGCGGCUUAUCAGCUUGUUGGUGGGGUAGUGGCUUACCAAGGCUUUGACGGGUAGCCGGCCUGAGAGGGUGACCGGCCACAUUGGGACUGAGAUACGGCCCAGACUCCUACGGGAGGCAGCAGUGGGGAAUAUUGCACAAUGGGCGGAAGCCUGAUGCAGCAACGCCGCGUGCGGGAUGACGGCCUUCGGGUUGUAAACCGUUUUCGCCUGUGACGAAGCGUGAGUGACGGUAAUGGGUAAAGAAGCACCGGCUAACUACGUG
rnacentral:rRNA from 1 species